rnacentral:tRNA from 4 species
GGAGCCGUGGCCAAGUGGUUUAAGGCAUAAGUCUGCAAAACUUUGAUCGUCGGUUCGAAUCCGAUCGGCUCCUCCA